UAGGGAAUCUUCGGCAAUGGGGGGAACCCUGACCGAGCAACGCCGCGUGAGUGAAGAAGGUUUUCGGAUCGUAAAGCUCUGUUGUUAAGGAAGAACGAGUGUGAGAAUGGAAAGUUCAUACUGUGACGGUACUUAACCAGAAAGGGACGGCUAACUACGUGCCAGCAGCCGCGGUAAUACGUAGGUCCCGAGCGUUGUCCGGAUUUAUUGGGCGUAAAGCGAGCGCAGGCGGUCAAUUAAGUCUGAUGUGAAAGCCCCCGGCUCAACCGGGGAGGGUCAUUGGAAACUGGUUGACUUGAGUGCAGAAGAGGAGAGUGGAAUUCCAUGUGUAGCGGUGAAAUGCGUAGAUAUAUGGAGGAACACCGGUGGCGAAAGCGGCUCUCUGGUCUGUAACUGACGCUGAGGCUCGAAAGCGUGGGGAGCGAACAGG
rnacentral:rRNA from 1 species